rnacentral:rRNA from 1 species
AUAGAGUCAAGUGAAUAAGUGCAUCAGGCGGAUGCCUUGGCGAUGAUAGGCGACGAAGGACGUGUAAGCCUGCGAAAAGCGCGGGGGAGCUGGCAAUAAAGCUAUGAUUCCGCGAUGUCCGAAUGGGGAAACCCACUGCAUUCUGUGCAGUAUCCUAAGUUGAAUACAUAGGCUUAGAGAAGCGAACCCGGAGAACUGAACCAUCUAAGUACCCGGAGGAAAAGAAAUCAACCGAGAUUCCGCAAGUAGUGGCGAGCGAACGCGGAGGAGCCUGUACGUAAUAACUGUCGAGAUAGAAGAACAAGCUGGGAAGCUUGACCAUAGCGGGUGACAGUCCCGUAUUCGAAAUCUCAACAGCGGUACUAAGCGUACGAAAAGUAGGGCGGGACACGUGAAAUCCUGUCUGAAUAUGGGGGGACCAUCCUCCAAGGCUAAAUACUCAUCAUCGACCGAUAGUGAACCAGUACCGUGAGGGAAAGGCGAAAAGAACCCCGGGAGGGGAGUGAAACAGAACCUGAAACCUGAUGCAUACAAACAGUGGGAGCGCCCUAGUGGUGUGACUGCGUACCUUUUGUAUAAUGGGUCAACGACUUACAUUCAGUAGCGAGCUUAACCGGAUAGGGGAGGCGUAGGGAAACCGAGUCUUAAUAGGGCGAUGAGUUGCUGGGUGUAGACCCGAAACCGAGUGAUCUAUCCAUGGUCAGGUUGAAGGUGCCGUAACAGGUACUGGAGGACCGAACCCACGCAUGUUGCAAAAUGCGGGGAUGAGCUGUGGGUAGGGGUGAAAGGCUAAACAAACUCGGAGAUAGCUGGUUCUCCCCGAAAACUAUUUAGGUAGUGCCUCGAGCAAGACACUGAUGGGGGUAAAGCACUGUUAUGGCUAGGGGGUUAUUGCAACUUACCAACCCAUGGCAAACUCAGAAUACCAUCAAGUGGUUCCUCGGGAGACAGACAGCGGGUGCUAACGUCCGUUGUCAAGAGGGAAACAACCCAGACCGCCGGCUAAGGUCCCAAAUGAUAGAUUAAGUGGUAAACGAAGUGGGAAGGCACAGACAGCCAGGAUGUUGGCUUAGAAGCAGCCAUCAUUUAAAGAAAGCGUAAUAGCUCACUGGUCGAGUCGUCCUGCGCGGAAGAUGUAACGGGGCUCAAAUCUAUAACCGAAGCUGCGGAUGCCGGUUUACCGGCAUGGUAGGGGAGCGUUCUGUAGGCUGAUGAAGGUGCAUUGUAAAGUGUGCUGGAGGUAUCAGAAGUGCGAAUGUUGACAUGAGUAGCGAUAAAGCGGGUGAAAAGCCCGCUCGCCGAAAGCCCAAGGUUUCCUACGCAACGUUCAUCGGCGUAGGGUAAGUCGGCCCCUAAGGCGAGGCAGAAAUGCGUAGUCGAUGGGAAACAGGUUAAUAUUCCUGUACUUGAUUCAAAUGCGAUGUGGGGACGGAGAAGGUUAGGUUGGCAAGCUGUUGGAAUAGCUUGUUUAAGCCGGUAGGUGGAAGACUUAGGCAAAUCCGGGUUUUCUUAACACCGAGAAGUGAUGACGAGUGUCUACGGACACGAAGCAACCGAUACCACGCUUCCAGGAAAAGCCACUAAGCUUCAGUUUGAAUCGAACCGUACCGCAAACCGACACAGGUGGGCAGGAUGAGAAUUCUAAGGCGCUUGAGAGAACUCGGGAGAAGGAACUCGGCAAAUUGAUACCGUAACUUCGGGAGAAGGUAUGCCCUCUAAGGUUAAGGACUUGCUCCGUAAGCCCCGGAGGGUCGCAGAGAAUAGGUGGCUGCGACUGUUUAUUAAAAACACAGCACUCUGCCAACACGAAAGUGGACGUAUAGGGUGUGACGCCUGCCCGGUGCCGGAAGGUUAAUUGAAGAUGUGCAAGCAUCGGAUCGAAGCCCCGGUAAACGGCGGCCGUAACUAUAACGGUCCUAAGGUAGCGAAAUUCCUUGUCGGGUAAGUUCCGACCCGCACGAAUGGCGUAACGAUGGCCACACUGUCUCCUCCCGAGACUCAGCGAAGUUGAAGUGGUUGUGAAGAUGCAAUCUACCCGCUGCUAGACGGAAAGACCCCGUGAACCUUUACUGUAGCUUUGCAUUGGACUUUGAAGUCACUUGUGUAGGAUAGGUGGGAGGCUUGGAAGCAGAGACGCCAGUCUCUGUGGAGUCGUCCUUGAAAUACCACCCUGGUGUCUUUGGGGUUCUAACCCAGACCCGUCAUCCGGGUCGGGGACCGUGCAUGGUAGGCAGUUUGACUGGGGCGGUCUCCUCCCAAAGCGUAACGGAGGAGUUCGAAGGUUACCUAGGUCCGGUCGGAAAUCGGACUGAUAGUGCAAUGGCAAAAGGUAGCUUAACUGCGAGACCGACAAGUCGGGCAGGUGCGAAAGCAGGACAUAGUGAUCCGGUGGUUCUGUAUGGAAGGGCCAUCGCUCAACGGAUAAAAGGUACUCCGGGGAUAACAGGCUGAUUCCGCCCAAGAGUUCAUAUCGACGGCGGAGUUUGGCACCUCGAUGUCGGCUCAUCACAUCCUGGGGCUGUAGUCGGUCCCAAGGGUAUGGCUGUUCGCCAUUUAAAGUGGUACGUGAGCUGGGUUUAAAACGUCGUGAGACAGUUUGGUCCCUAUCUGCAGUGGGCGUUGGAAGUUUGACGGGGGCUGCUCCUAGUACGAGAGGACCGGAGUGGACGAACCUCUGGUGUACCGGUUGUAACGCCAGUUGCAUAGCCGGGUAGCUAAGUUCGGAAGAGAUAAGCGCUGAAAGCAUCUAAGCGCGAAACUCGCCUGAAGAUGAGACUUCCCUUGCGGUUUAACCGCACUAAAGGGUCGUUCGAGACCAGGACGUUGAUAGGUGGGGUGUGGAAGCGCGGUAACGCGUGAAGCUAACCCAUACUAAUUGCCCGUGAGGCUUGACUCUAU